rnacentral:misc_RNA from 1 species
CUCUCGCCUAUUGGUCCUUCGUGAUCAUCCACCAAUUCUCUUCCUGACGUCACGGCGUAGGACGAAAACUUAUAAACGCUAAACGCGCCUGCUGGCAGCAUUCAUUGGUGCACUGCAUCGCUGCUCGGUUCUAGUUGCGGUGUCGCGAGGUAUUCCACAUUCUUCCUCCGUAAUCUUCGUAACCUCUGUAACCUCUGUUUGAGUACACAUGUAUCAAGAUUCUUCAAUGAAAUUAAUCAUCAAGUGUCUCAGACCCGAUAUUAUAUCGGGGUAUUCGAAUCUAUUAUAUGACGAUUCAAUGAAUCUGAUCGUCAUAUCGGACGGGGUGAAAAUGUUGUCUCAAGAUCAACGAUUAGUAUCACUAAAACAUCCCGCUACGACGGAAUUGAUUUAUUUGACUGUCACAUGUGCGCAAGUCGACAUAAAGUAACCGACACUUAAAA